rnacentral:rRNA from 1 species
AUUGAACGCUGGCGGAAUGCUUUACACAUGCAAGUCGAACGGUAACGCGGGGCAACCUGGCGACGAGUGGCGAACGGGUGAGUAAUGCAUCGGAACGUGCCCAGUAGUGGGGGAUAGCCCGGCGAAAGCCGGAUUAAUACCGCAUACGACCUACGGGUGAAAGCGGGGGAGUCGCAAGACCUCGCGCGAAUGGAGCGGCCGAUGUCAGAUUAGGUAGUUGGUGGGGUAAAGGCUCACCAAGCCGACGAUCUGUAGCUGGUCUGAGAGGACGACCAGCCACACUGGGACUGAGACACGGCCCAGACUCCUACGGGAGGCAGCAGUGGGGAAUUUUGGACAAUGGGGGCAACCCUGAUCCAGCCAUUCCGCGUGAGUGAAGAAGGC